AUGCCACUAAUCGAAAGUACGGCAGGGCAGAGACCCAGGGGCACUCCCCGCAAAAAAAAAAAGAGACCCAGGGGCACGCCCGAUCCAAAUUGCCCACGGAGAGAGAGAGAGAGUCGAGGAUCAAGCCGGACCCGAUCUGGCCCGGGCAUCUCCAUCGGUGGCGGGUGGCGGUGCAAGCCGCCAACGGCGUACUGCUCGGACGCGGAACGUGCAUGCAUGCGCUGCGGCAGUUGCAGGACGAGCCCUUGUGCCGUCGUCUACCCCCCAUGGCUUAGCAUUGGCAAUGGCCAAUGGAAGAGGGGCCGAUGCAGCGUCCAUGUGAGUAAGCGGCGGAAAGUUACCAUCUACCAUCAGGUGCGUGUGUACGUACGUCUACGUGCCGCCCCCACUGCCGUCGAUUUAUUUAUCCUCGCGCUCGCUGGCAGGAGGUUGUAUGUGUCCCUGUGA
rnacentral:rRNA from 1 species